CGCAGUGCCCAGCACUGAGUCCAUCAAGGGCGCCAUUACACUGAAGAGCCAAGCAGGCACAAUAAAGCUGAAAUGAGAAUGGAUGUGGAAGCAAACAAACCUGAAACCCUACAGCCCCCACUGGGUCAAUUUUUAAAGCACAGAUUGCUUUGAGUUCUAGAAGCAGAAUCCAAGAACUUCCAAGCACAGCCACAGCAAAGACCCCAACACCAGCACAAAUAACAGCUGAGAGUAACGGCAGAGCCUUUCUUCUGCAGGAGGCCUUCCCACAUCCCGUCAGUUUUCUUGUCCUUCCCACUCUUGGUUUUAAAAUGGACCUGGCACUCACACUGUAUACAAAACGUAUAUCAACUGCUUGCACGUGGAACAAAACUGCUGCAUGUGUCAUGAAAUGUUUCCUCUGCUGAUACAGAUCUCUGCUAUUACGCUCUGCUGCUGCACAUCAAGGAACGGAGAGGAACACAAUGUGACAGCUCCAUGAUGGUCCAAGUAUGAAAAACAUGACAUGCUUUGGAAAGUAUUGCUUUAGGUACAAUAACUUUAAAACUGAACCCGUUUG
rnacentral:lncRNA from 1 species